rnacentral:rRNA from 1 species
UACGAAGGGGGCUAGCGUUGUUCGGAAUUACUGGGCGUAAAGCGCACGUAGGCGGACUACUAAGUCAGGGGUGAAAUCCCGGGGCUCAACCCCGGAACUGCCUUUGAUACUGAUAGUCUCGAGUCCGGAAGAGGCGAGUGGAAUUCCGAGUGUAGAGGUGAAAUUCGUAGAUAUUCGGAAGAACACCAGUGGCGAAGGCGGCUCACUGGUCCGGUACUGACGCUGAGGUGCGAAAGCGUGGGGAGCAAACAGG